GAUGAACGCUGGCGGCGUGCCUAAUACAUGCAAGUCGAGCGAAUGGAUUAAGAGCUUGCUCUUAUGAGGUUAGCGGCGGACGGGUGAGUAACACGUGGGUAACCUGCCCAUAAGACUGGGAUAACUCCGGGAGACCGGGGCUAAUACCGGAUAACAUUUUGGACCGCAUGGUUCGAAAUUGAAAGGCGGCUUCGGCUGUCACUUAUGGAUGGACCCGGGUCGCAUUAGCUAGUUGGUGAGGUAACGGCUCCCCAAGGCAACGAUGCGUAGCCGACCUGAGAGGGUGAUCGGCCACACUGGGACUGAGACACGGCCCAGACUCCUACGGGAGGCAGCAGUAGGGAAUCUUCCGCAAUGGACGAAAGUCUGACGGAGCAACGCCGCGUGAGUGAUGAAGGCUUUCGGGUCGUAAAACUCUGUUGUUAGGGAAGAACAAGUGCUAGUUGAAUAAGCUGGCACCUUGACGGUACCUAACCAGAAAGCCACGGCUAACUACGUGCCAGCCGCCGCCGUAA
rnacentral:rRNA from 1 species